rnacentral:tRNA from 1 species
GGUUGUGGCUCAGUGGUACAGUGCUUGCCUUGAACAUAUGAGGCCCUGGGUUCAAUCCUCAACACUA